rnacentral:rRNA from 1 species
AGGUCUUGCCUGCCCAGUGACAAGUUAAACGGCCGCGGUAUUUUGACCGUGCGAAGGUAGCGCAAUCACUUGUCUUUUAAAUGAAGACCUGUAUGAAUGGCGGAACGAGGGCUUAACUGUCUCCCCUUUCAAGUCAAUGAAAUUGAUCUACCCGUGCAGAAGCGGGUAUAUAAAUACAAGACGAGAAGACCCUUUGGAGCUUAAGAUAUAAAAUCAACUACGUCAAGAGCACAAAACUAAACUAAGUAACACCUGAUAAUAUAUCUUCGGUUGGGGCGACCACGGGAGAAAACAAAGCUCCCAUGAGGAUUGGGACUAUACCCUAAAACUAAGAAAGACAUUUCUAAGUCACAGAACAUCUGACCAUAAAGAUCCGGCCACCCGCCGAUCAACGGACCAAGUUACCCUAGGGAUAACAGCGCAAUCCCCUUUCAGAGUCCAUAUCGACAAGGGGGUUUACGACCUCGAUGUUGGAUCAGGACAUCCUAUUGGUGCAGCCGCUAUUAAGGGUUCGUUUGUUCAACGAUUAAAGUCCUACGUGAUCU